UACGUAGGUGACAAGCGUUGUCCGGAUUUACUGGGCGUAAAGAGCGCGCAGGCGGUCGUUCAAGUCGAGUGUGAAAGCCCCCGGCUCAACUGGGGAGGGUCAUUCGAUACUGAUCGGCUCGAAGGCAGGAGAGGGAAGUGGAAUUCCCGGUGUAGUGGUGAAAUGCGUAGAUAUCGGGAGGAACACCAGUGGCGAAGGCGACUUCCUGGCCUGUUCUUGACGCUGAGGCGCGAAAGCUAGGGGAGCAAACGGG
rnacentral:rRNA from 1 species